rnacentral:lncRNA from 1 species
UCUUAAGUCAAGUUCAGUUUCCUUUUUCGAUUCGGAACUCUUAGUCGAGCUGAUGGCGAGAUCGAUUUUUUGUUCGAGGUUCAAGAGGAAGGAGAGGAACCACCGCCCAAUGGCUCUUAGUCGAGCUGAUGGCGAGAUGGAUCUGCCGUAGACACCCGAGAGAUCUUCACAAGGCAGGCUAAAAUAAAAGACUAAGAGGCGCUGCAAGCGAGCAAAGAGUUAUGCUUUCAUUUCUUUGUUGAGAUUGAAAUCAAGUUAAAAGGUUAGGUAUAAUGCACGCAGGCCAAGUCAAGAAAAGGACUUCCUUACUUUUCAUUCAUAGUAGUCUUAAUGACUAGUAGUUUGAAGCCUUAAGAAAGCGGUUUUUUUUCGGCACUCGCUUCCUUUGUCUUAAGUCAAGUUCAGUUUCCUUUUUCGAUUCGGAACUCUUAGUCGAGCUGAUGGCGAGAUCGAUUUUUUU